CCUACGGGCGGCAGCAGUGGGGAAUAUUGCACAAUGCGGGAAACCCUGACGCAGCAACGCCGCGUGAGUGAAGCAGUAUUUCGGUAUGUAAAGCUCUAUCAGCAGGGAAGAAGAAAGACGGUACCUGACUAAGAAGCCCUGGCUAACUACGUGCCAGCAGCCGCGGUAAUAUGGAGGGGGCAAGCGUUAUCCGGAGUUACUGGGCGUAAAGGGAGCGUAGGCGGCUGUGCAAGUCAGAAGUUAAAGCCCGUGGCUCAACCGUGGAACGGCUUUGGAUACUGUAUAGCUUGAGUACUGGAGAGGCUGGCGGAAUUCCUGGUGUAGCGGUGAAAUGCGUAGAUAUUAGGAGGAAUACCGGUGGCGAAGGCGGCCUGCUGGACAGAAACUGACGUUGAGGCUCGAAAGCGUGGGGAGCAAACAGGAUUAGAUACCCUGGUAGUC
rnacentral:rRNA from 1 species